UAAUUGAAUAAUUUAACGAUUUCCCUUUCAUAUUUGAUAUUGAUUAGCUCACCAAUCCAUAUGUAAUGGAACUCUAUUCGCUUUUCUAAUUGAUAUAGAAAAUAAUAGAAUUAGGAAAUCCUCUAUUUACUAUUUUCUAUUCCAAGGUGGGGAGUUUGAUUUUCCCCAUCGACCUA
rnacentral:sRNA from 1 species